GUCCCUGCAGCCAAGACCCUGC
rnacentral:miRNA from 1 species